rnacentral:rRNA from 2 species
AUACAUGCAAGUCGAACGAACUCUGGUAUUGAUUGGUGCUUGCAUCAUGAUUUACAUUUGAGUGAGUGGCGAACUGGUGAGUAACACGUGGGAAACCUGCCCAGAAGCGGGGGAUAACACCUGGAAACAGAUGCUAAUACCGCAUAACAACUUGGACCGCAUGGUCCGAGCUUGAAAGAUGGCUUCGGCUAUCACUUUUGGAUGGUCCCGCGGCGUAUUAGCUAGAUGGUGGGGUAACGGCUCACCAUGGCAAUGAUACGUAGCCGACCUGAGAGGGUAAUCGGCCACAUUGGGACUGAGACACGGCCCAAACUCCUACGGGAGGCAGCAGUAGGGAAUCUUCCACAAUGGACGAAAGUCUGAUGGAGCAACGCCGCGUGAGUGAAGAAGGGUUUCGGCUCGUAAAACUCUGUUGUUAAAGAAGAACAUAUCUGAGAGUAACUGUUCAGGUAUUGACGGUAUUUAACCAGAAAGCCACGGCUAACUACGUGCCAGCAGCCGCGGUAAUACGUAGGUGGCAAGCGUUGUCCGGAUUUAUUGGGCGUAAAGCGAGCGCAGGCGGUUUUUUAAGUCUGAUGUGAAAGCCUUCGGCUCAACCGAAGAAGUGCAUCGGAAACUGGGAAACUUGAGUGCAGAAGAGGACAGUGGAACUCCAUGUGUAGCGGUGAAAUGCGUAGAUAUAUGGAAGAACACCACUGGCGAAGGCGGCUGUCUGGUCUGUAACUGACGCUGAGGCUCGAAAGUAUGGGUAGCAAACAGGAUUAUAUACCCUGGUAGUCCAUACCCGUAAACGAUGAAUGCUAAGUGUUGGAGGGUUUCCGCCCUUCAGUGCUGCAGCUAACGCAUUAAGCAUUCCCCCUGGCGAGUACGGCCACAGAGCUGAAACUCAGACGAAUUGACUAGGGCCGGCACAAGCAGUGGAAGAUGUGCUUUGAUUCUAAUCUGCGCUAAGAACCAUACCAGGUCUGGACGUACUAUGCAAAUCUAACAGAU